UACGUAGGGUGCAAGCGUUGUCCGGGAUUAUUGGGCGUAAAGAGCUCGUAGGCGGUUUGUCGCGUCUGCUGUGAAAACCCGAGGCUCAACCUCGGGCCUGCAGUGGGUACGGGCAGACUAGAGUGCGGUAGGGGAGAUUGGAAUUCCUGGUGUAGCGGUGGAAUGCGCAGAUAUCAGGAGGAACACCAAUGGCGAAGGCAGAUCUCUGGGCCGUAACUGACGCUGAGGAGCGAAAGCAUGGGGAGCGAACAGG
rnacentral:rRNA from 1 species